UACAGAGGGGGCAAGCGUUAUUCGGAAUUAUUGGGCGUAAAGGGCGCGUAGGCGGCUUGGCAAGUGGAUGGUGAAAUCCCUCGGCUUAACCGAGGAACUGCCGUCCAAACUGCUUCGCUUGAGACCGGGAGAGGUGAGUGGAAUUCCCAGUGUAGCGGUGAAAUGCGUAGAUAUUGGGAGGAACACCAGUGGCGAAGGCGGCUCACUGGACCGGUAUUGACGCUGAGGCGCGAAAGCUAGGGGAGCAAACGGG
rnacentral:rRNA from 1 species